GGAGGGAUGCCGGAGCGGUUAAUCGGGACGGACUGUAAAUCCGUUGGCCAGCGCCUACGGUGGUUCGAAUCCACCUCCCUCCACCA
rnacentral:tRNA from 1 species